rnacentral:rRNA from 1 species
UUAACACAUGCAAGUCGAGGGGUAACAGGGAGUAGCAAUACUCCGCUGACGACCGGCGCACGGGUGCGUAACGCGUAUGCAACCUACCUGUAACAGGGGUAUAACGGAGGGAAACUUCCACUAAUCCCCCAUAUUGUUGUGGAUUCGCAUGUUUCCACAACGAAAGCUUUCUGUGGUUACGGAUGGGCAUGCGUGACAUUAGCUAGUUGGGGCGGUAACGGCGCACCAAGGCGACGAUGGCUAGGGGGUCUGAGAGGAUGGUCCCCCACACUGGUACUGAGACACGGACCAGACUCCUACGGGGGGCAGCAGUGAGGAAUAUUGGUCAAUGGGCGGAAGCCUGAACCAGCCCAUGCCGCGUGCAGGAUGACGGCCCUACGGGUUGUAAACUGCUUUUCCCCGGGAAGAAUAAGCCCCUCGUGAGGGGUGAUGCCGGUACCGGGGGAAUAAGGAUCGGCUAACUCCGUGCCAGCAGCGGC